UACGCUCUCCAUUAAAGAAAUGACCACUUUCGUAUGUGCUACUAGAUGGUUUACACCCUGCUUUCAGAGAUAUACGAAGGGGACAAAUGGUAGAAUUUUGUGAUCCUAUCAAACACACUGAAUUGGCGUUUCUUGCUCAACAGGGAACUAUGCUGGUUUAAUCCUUAGAGAUAUUGACAAAGAUAGUGGUAAUCCACAAAUGUGUGCUUCCUACCCUGCAGAGAUAGACACAAACUUAAUGGCCUCAGAGCCGAGGGUGCAGUAAACAUUGGAGGAAGGUGCUCAGCUUGUAUUUUUAGGAUGGCAGUAAAGUCUUUCCUUCAACGAAGAUUUCCCCUGACAUUUGCAAUGGCAGCAGUGUCACCACCAGAGUUAACCAAAAUUCCUUAUGAAUUUAUUUCAGUGUAACUUAGCAUACAUUUUGUUCCAAAAUUCUUUACAGAAAUCCACCAAUCCAACGCCCCUGAGUGGACCAACAGAGAGGAGCGGCUGCCAGAGCUUGGGAGCUCCACGGACCACACGGUGACAGCGAGAGCAGGAUGAUGGUGUGCUACGUGCUCAGUUUAUACUCCACCCGAGAUUAUAAUGCAGAGGCUGCUGGACCUUGAAUAAUCCCCCGGUCGGGGCGAAGGGCGUGUGGGAGACGCACUGCAAGGUGCGGCCGAGGGCGGAGCUUGAAGGGCGCUGGUCGGGGCCGGGCGUGGCGCGGUUGGGGCGCAGGGCACGGGAGCCGCUGGGGCGAGCGGGCGGUCCUGGGUCGCGGGUCACGGGGCGCGGCGGCGCGGACACGCAGAGGCGGGAGCCGACGCC